UACGUAGGUGGCAAGCGUUGUCCGGAUUUACUGGGCGUAAAGCGUAUGCAGGCGGACCGUUAAGUAGGAAGUGAAAGGUUGGAGCUCAACUCUAACACUGCUCCCUAUACUGGCGGUCUUGAGUGGCGGAGAGUAAGACGGAACGACACGUGUAGCGGUGAAAUGCGUUGAUAUGUGUCGGAACACCAAUGGCGAAAGCAGUCUUCUGGACGCAAACUGACGCUGAGAUACGAAAGCCAAGGUAGCAAACAGG
rnacentral:rRNA from 1 species